AGGGAGGAGGCCGGCCAAGAUGUUUUGGAGUAUAAUUGUGUAAUUAGGGUGGCUCAUAAAAUAAGAGAACUUCCGGAGGCGCUGUGGUCGGGAUGCGGGCCACAUUCAUGGAAAGAGGUUGAAUGCAUUUUGAAAAACUAUUUGAAAGUUGGAUUGACACCUGAAACUAACACAACAUGGGCUUCCCUGGUGGCGCAGUGGUUAAGAAUCCACCUGCCAAUGCAGGGGACGUGGGUUUGAGCCCUGAUCUGGGAAGACCCCGCAUGCCGCGGAGCAACUAAGCCCAUGCGCCACAACUACUAAACCUGUGCUCUAGAGUCCGUGAGCCACAACCACUGAGCCCACGUGCCACAACUACUGAAGCCCGCACCUAUAGCCCGUGCUCUGCAACUGCAACAAGAGAAGACAUCGCAGCGAAGAGCAGCCCCCGCUCACCGCAGCGAGAGAAAGCCCGCACGCAGCAACAAAGACCCAACACAGCCAAAAAUAAAUUAAAUAAUUUUAAAAAAUCAAUAUAGUGAAUUACAUAGCCCAGACCCCAGGAGGCUAAAGCGUCUACACAUGCUUGAAUGACUCUAGGUUCAUCAAGUGUUUCCCAAACUAAGGAGCAUCUAAGGCAAAGAUUGUUGUCUGUGUCUGUGGAAGCCACCUAAGCGUCCAUCGACAGAUGAACAGAUAAAGAAGGUAUGGUACAAAUAUACAGCGGAAUCCUACUCAGCCAUAAAAAACAAUGAAAUCAUGCCAUUUGCAGCAACACGGAUGGACCUAGAGACGAUCAGACGAAGUGAAGUAAGUCAGACAGAGAAAGGCAAUUAAAAAGCUACAAGUGCCCUAAAAGGUAUUCUACUCUGUGACUUGAACUUACAUAUUAAGAGACUCUAGCCCACGGAGGUUUUCCUCUGCUUUUCUGUGGUAGAGCUGGAUUCACAUGUCUGAUUUCCAUCCCACCUGGACCAUUCUACCGAUGGACCUUCACACAAGUACUGACUUCGCCUAGAAGCCAAAGCUGGUAGUGGUCUGGUCUUGAAGAAUAAGUCUGAAAUGGAGGAAGACAGUAUUGUGAAGCCCCCGGGCCUCCUUUCCAAUUCUUCACAGCUUUGAAUCACCACCCUAUGUGCAUUUGGUUUCCCCACUUCGAGCCCUUCGCAGAACAAGGUCGUGGUGACCUACAGCAGUGACUCACGCCAGGCCUUUCCAUGCCUCCUCGGCAAAGACUCAAGAGUCUUUGCGAAACCUCGGGAUGGUUCCAUGAUGGGGGGUGAAGGGCUCCAUCAGACCUAAUUCAGCUGUGUCUCUUGCUCUUUACCUUUUAAUUAUUGGAUUUAAAGAAUUCCAUAACUGCAAGGAAAGACUUCUUUGGGGUCAGUGUGACCUAUUUUUUUGUUCAUUCAGCAAAUGCUUAUUCAGGAACUACCAUGAACCGUGUGUGUGUGUGUGUGUGUGUGUGUGUGUGUGUGUGUGUGUGUGUGUGUGAUGUUUCUGCCCCAGGUUCCUCUACUUGGUCUUUGACUCUGGUUCCUGACGCAGAGCUCCUAAAAGCCUUGUAAUUUCCUGGGUGAGAGGAGUACCUUUUGUUCUUAUGAGGUGACCCCUGGAUGGCUCCUGGGUAGGGCCUGGUCACCAGAAAACAAAGCCAUGAUUAGAAACUUGGAGCUUUCAGCCUUGCUCCCCGUUCUCUAGAGAAAGUUAAUAAUCGGUCAUGCCUACAUGAUGAAGUCUCCAUAAAAAGUCCCCAAAGUACAGGGUUCAGUGAGCUUGCUGCUGGUGAAUACAUCCACAGACCAGGACAGUGACACACCCCGGUUCCAUGGAGACAAAGGCUACUGGGCUUGGGACCCUUGGGACCCUGUGUACAUCUUCAUUUGUAUAUGUUAUCCUUUUUUUGUAUAAUAAACCGGUAAAUUAAGUGUU